rnacentral:pre_miRNA from 1 species
UUAACUUGAAUAGAAUCACCUUGGUAUCAAAAUUUGCGCUGCUGGAAAUUAAAUAAAUUGUUAACAGACAAGUUUUGAUACAAGGUAACUCGAAACAAGUUAC